CCCUCGGAGCGUUAUAUCAAACGAAAGUAGUUUUAGUGAGAACUAAUACAAAAUCGGGCGCGAUGAAUUGGGAA
rnacentral:ncRNA from 1 species